AGCGAACGCUGGCGGCAGGCCUAACACAUGCAAGUCGAACGAACCCAUCGUGGUUAGUUGCGGUCGGGUGAGUAACACGUGGGAACGUGCCGUUAGGUUUCGAAUAACUCAGUUUAACUUGUGCUAACACCGGAUAAGCCCCUCGGGUGCAAAAUCUAUCGUCCUUAGAGAGGCCCGCGUCCGUUUAGCGAGUUGGUUGAGGUAAUGGCGAACCAAGGUGACGAACAGUAGCUGGUCUGAGAGGAAGAGCAGACACAUCGGGGAUGAGACACAGAGGAAACUCCUACGGGAGGCGGCAGUGGGGAAUCCUGCAAAAUGGGCGAAAGGCUGAAGCAGCCAGGGUGGGUAAAUGAUGAAGGUCUUAGAAUAGUACAAUUCUUUAAACGGGCGCGGUAAUGACGGUACCCGAAGAAGAAGCACCGGCUAACUUCGUG
rnacentral:rRNA from 1 species